AUUGAACGCUGGCGGCAUGCUUUACACAUGCAAGUCGAACGGUAACAGGCCGCAAGGUGCUGACGAGUGGCGAACGGGUGAGUAAUGCAUCGGAACGUGCCCAGUCGUGGGGGAUAACGCAGCGAAAGCUGCGCUAAUACCGCAUACGAUCUAUGGACGAAAGCGGGGGACCGUAAGGCCUCGCGCGAUUGGAGCGGCCGAUGUCAGAUUAGGUAGUUGGUGGGGUAAAGGCUCACCAAGCCAACGAUCUGUAGCUGGUCUGAGAGGACGACCAGCCCCACUGGGAAUGAAACAAGGCCCUGGCUCCGACGGGGGGCAGCAGUGUGGAAUUUUGGACGGUGGGCGCAAGCCUGAUCCAGCAAUGCAGUGUGCAGGAAGAAGGCCUUCGGGUUGUAAACUGCUUUUGUACGGAACGAAACGACUCUCUCUAAUACAGAGGGCUAAUGACGGUACCGUAAGAAUAAGCACCGGCUAACUACGUGCCAGCCGCCGCCGUAAAAC
rnacentral:rRNA from 1 species